rnacentral:rRNA from 1 species
GAUGAACGCUAGCGGCAGGCUUAAUACAUGCAAGUCGAGGGGUGGCAAGAUUGUAGCAAUACAAUUGUUGACGACCGGCAAACGGGUGCGGAACACGUACACAACCUUCCUACAAGUGGGGAAUAGCCCAGAGAAAUUUGGAUUAAUACCCCGUAACAUAGCGAUGUGGCAUCACAUUGCUAUUAUAGCCUCGGCGCUUGUUGAUUGGUGUGCGGCUGAUUAGAUAGUUGGCGGGGUAACGGCCCACCAAGUCUACGAUCAGUAGCUGAUGUGAGAGCAUGAUCAGCCACACGGGCACUGAGACACGGGCCCGACUCCUACGGGAGGCAGCAGUAAGGAAUAUUGGACAAUGGACGCAAGUCUGAUCCAGCCAUGCCGCGUGAAGGAUUAAGGUCCUCUGGAUUGUAAACCUCUUUUAUAAGGGACGAAAAAAGGUCUUUCUAGAUCGUCUGACGGUACCUUAUGAAUAAGCACCGGCUAACUCCGUGCCAGCAGCCGCAGUAAAAC